rnacentral:rRNA from 1 species
AGUGAACGCUGGCGGUAGGCCUAACACAUGCAAGUCGAACGGCAGCACAGUAAGAGCUUGCUCUUACGGGUGGCGAGUGGCGGACGGGUGAGGAAUACAUCGGAAUCUACUUUUUCGUGGGGGAUAACGUAGGGAAACUUACGCUAAUACCGCAUACGACCUACGGGUGAAAGCAGGGGAUCUUCGGACCUUGCGCGAUUGAAUGAGCCGAUGUCGGAUUAGCUAGUUGGCGGGGUAAAGGCCCACCAAGGCGACGAUCCGUAGCUGGUCUGAGAGGAUGACCACCCACAGGGGCAGUGACACACGCUCCAGACUCCUGCGGGAGGGGUGGGUGGGGAAUAGGGGAAAAGGGGGGCAAGUCUGACCCACCCAUCCGGGGUGGGUAAAAACGCCGUGUGGGUUCAAAGCCCUUUUUGUGGAAAAAAAAAAGCAGCAGUUAAAUACCCCCCUUUUCGGGCGUACCCAAAAAAAAAGCCCCCGGCAAUCUUGGCG